AUUGAACUCUGGCGGCAGGCCUAACACAUGCAAGUCGAGCGAGCUGCGGACGGGUGAGUACUGUCUGGGAAACUGCCUGAUGGCGGGGGAUAACUACUGGAAAAGGUAGCUAAUACCGCAUACCAUCAUCUUUUCCCCGAUGGGAUUAGCUAGUAGGUGGGUUAACGCCUCACCUAGGCGACGAUCCCUAGCUGGUCUGAGAGGAUGACCAGCCACACUGGAACUGGGACACGGUCCAGACUCCUACGGGAGGCAGCAUUGGGGAAUAUUGCACAAUGGGCGCAAGCCUGAUGCAGCCAUGCCGCGUGUGUGAAGAAGGCCUUCGGGUUGUAAAGCACUUUCAGCGGGGAGGCGUUACCCGCAGAAGAAGCACCGGCUAACUCCGUGCCAGCAGCCGCGGUAAUUC
rnacentral:rRNA from 1 species